AGGACGAACGCUGGCGGCGUGCCUAAAACAUGCAAGUCGAACGGUGUAGCAAUACACAGUGGCGAACGGCGAAGUAAUACAUAAGAAACGUGCCCUGAAGACCGGGAUAGUCAUUGGAAACGAUGGGUAAUACCGGAUGUGGUCACUCUUUGGCAUCAAAGAGUGAUUAAAUGGUUUUUCGCUUCAGGAGCGUCUUAUGGCCUAUCAGGUAGUUGGUGGGGUAAUGGCCUACCAAGCCGACGACGGGUAGCGGGUCUGAGAGGAUGAUCCGCUCGAGUGGGACUGAGACACGGCCCACACACCUACGGGUGGCAGCAGUUGGGAAUCUUGCACAAUGGGGGAAACCCUGAUGCAGCGACGCCGCGUGGAGGAUGACGGGUCUAGGCCUGUAAACUCCUUUUAACGGGAAGACUUAGGACGGUACCCGUUGAAUAAGGACCGGCUAACUACGUGCCAGCAGCCGC
rnacentral:rRNA from 1 species